UCAUUUGUUUGCAGAUGGAGGGAAUACAUACACUCCGGCCGCUACUCUCCGCGAGUGCCCGACCCAACCUCACAAAAUUACAAUCCAAGUCGUUUUUACUACCGAAAAAUCGACCUUUUUGCCGAAGCAAAGUUCGUGGCGAGUAGAGUUGGUGGGGGUCAUGGACCCGGUGGCGGGGAGCAUUGCGAAGGAGCUCCUGGAGCAACCGCAGGACGGAGCGCCGCGGCCGAUACGGGCGGCCCCGCCGCCGUUCCUCACCAAGACGUACGACCUGGCGGAGGACCCGUCGACGGAUCAGGUGGUGUCGUGGAGCAGCGCCGGCGACAGCUUCGUGGUGUGGGAUCCGCGCGUCUUCACCGAGGUGCUGAUCCCGCGACUCUUCAAGCACAACAACUUCUCCAGCUUCAUCAGGCAGCUCCACACCUACGGUUUCAGAAAGGUUGAUCCUGACAGGUGGGAGUUUGCAAAUGAAGGUUUCGUGAGGGGUCAAAGACAUCUCCUGAAGAUGAUCAAGAGGAGGAAGCUGCCGUCCAAGGUGCCUCCAUCACAGCAUCAGGCCAUCACGUCUUGGCUGGGGGUUGGUCAGUUUGGAUUUGAGGAAGAGAUUGACAGGCUGAAACGUGAUAACAACAUCUUGAUCACAGAGGUAGCGAAGCUAAGGCAUGGGCAGCAGGCCAUUAAGGAUCACGUGCAAGCCAUGGAAGAGAGGCUAAGAACUGCUGAACAGAAACAUGCCCAGAUGAUGGGGUUCUUGGCAAGAGCAAUGCGUAACCCAUGGUUCUUCCAACAUUUAGUUCAACAACAGGAUGAGAGGAAGGAGCUCGAGGAUGCCAUCUCGAAGAAAAGAAGGCGGCCCAUAGACAAUGUUCCAUUCUAUGGCCUUGGAGUAACAAGUCAUAGCAAGCAACAUGAUUCGGAGUCGUUUGAUUCGGGUGUCCUUAGUGAGCUCAGUGAACCUAGAAUGCCUGGUCUGAAGAAUGCUCAGAACAUUCAGGAGAUUGGGAAGGGUAAAAUAGAUGAGGAAAAGAUGGAUCAAGCUAAUGGGCAGGUGGAGCUCAACAAUGCAUUUUGGGCAGAGCUGUUUUCUGAUGAUUUUGGGGACGGGUCUAGGCUGUCAGAGUUGGAGGGAAGGAGACGUCAGGAUAUCGAUGAACUGGCUCAGCAGUUAGGGUAUCUGAGUUCUACUAUCCCGCAGUAGAGUUUUGUCGACAAUAAUUUACUUAACCAACAAACGUUGCUUCUUCAGUACUAUUGCCGACCAUCUUGAACAAUCUGGUACAUUUCGUAUUCAAUGACGUAGAUAUGGUAGUGUAAUGGAUAACAUGUUAACAUUUCUGGUAAUAAUGCAGUGACAUUCUAUGGUGCUGCUUAAAUCUGCAGAAGUGAGGGUUAGAGUAGUUAGUAGUAGUUGGAUCUUUGCGAACGUGGUUGACAACUAUCAUGCCUAUUUUGUUUCUUGAUUAGUCUUGUUUAUGGCCAGUACUUGACCAGAUUUAGUUUACUGGUGAGCAACAUGGCUGGCUACGUCAGGUGUUCAUGCUGGAGCUGGGACCAUGCUGACACCUCUGGGCAGAGGGUAGAGGCUGCCUUCUGCCGAAAGUGUCGCUUCAUGUAGACCCAUGUCUUAUAGCGUACUCACUAACCUGAAGAAGAUAAUCCACCUAGGCAUUCAAUCGUCGUCAACUGGUAUUCAGCAGCAGUUGAAGAAGUCUCUGUAUACUCACUAUUUCAGUCAAGUUCUGUUGUGAAAGUCUGGUCUCUAGUCUCUGGCUGUGGGUUUAGACAGUUCUCUUGUGUGGUGUAUCCUGGAACCUCUUCGUAGUUCAGACCAAAUGCCAUUUUGCUGGUCAAUUUUGAUGAACUUACUGAUUACUUUCAUGAUUCUUGAACCUGUAUAUCUGCCACAGUGAAGGCUGGCAUUUUCGCCAUUCCUGAGCCAUGCGCAAAUUUAUGAUUCUUAUUA